rfam:Macrostomum lignano uti_cns_0046051, whole genome shotgun sequence.
AGAAUUGUUUUUUAAUUAACCAUUAAAAAUGAGCCAACUUGUGUUUGAAGGUGGAUUUUUGGAUGUUCAAAAAGGAUUAACAAGCUUACCAAGCGUUUUUACUACUGGAAAAUAUACGAAUGAAUUACACAUCCCAGGGUAUUCGUACGCAGGUUAACCCGAGGCCUGAGUGAGGAAGUCAAUGUCCUUGCUAGUCACUAUUUGUGGCGACACCUUCAAAUUGCGUGAAACCCGUCAUACAGCUUCAAGUACCACUUCAAUUGAGAAAUCUUUUGAAGGAACAGAGGUAACUCCUCUUCCCAAAGGUAACAAGCUUGAAGACAAGGUGGCAAUGCGCAGCCAAGCUCCUAAGUAUAAAAAUAUAAGGAGAAGGUUCAGAGAGCAGACGGAGGUGGGCGGUAAUUUAUCCGCUUAAGGUGUGCUCCAGCCUCUUUCGAAAGAUUGAG